rnacentral:rRNA from 1 species
GACGAACGCUGGCGGCGUGCUUAACACAUGCAAGUCGAACGGAAAGGCUCCAGCUUGCUUGAGUGCUCGAUUGGCGCACGGGUGAGUAACACGUGUGCAAUCUGCCCUUCACUCUGGGAGAUGCCUUGGAAACUGGGUCGAAUACCCGAUAUGACCUUUCUCCCCACGGGGUUUGGUGGAAAGUUUUUCUGUUCAGGAUGAGGCUGCGGGCUAUCAGCUUGUUUGUGGGGGAAUGGCCUACCAAGGCGACGACGGGUAGCCGACAUGAGAGGUUGAACGGGGACAAUGGGACUGCGAUACGGAGCAGAAGCCUACGGGAGGCAGCAGUGGGGAAUAUUGCACAGUGGGCGAAAGCCUGAGGCAGAGACGCCGGGUGCGGGAUGCCGGCCUUCGGGUUAUAAACAUAUUUCAGUAGGGCUGAAGCGCAAGUGACGGUACCUGCAGAAGAAGCACCGGCUAACUACGUG